rnacentral:rRNA from 1 species
GGAGGGUGCAAGCGUUGUUCGGAUUCAUUGGGCGUAAAGGGGGGUCUAGGCGGCAUGGGUAAGUCGGAUGUGAAAUCCCACGGGCUCACCCGUGGAACUGCGUUCGAAACUGCCUCGCUUGAGUACGGAAGAGGAGAGCGGAAUUCUCAGUGUAGCGGUGGAAUGCGUAGAUAUUGAGAAGAACACCGGUGGCGAAGGCGGCUCUCUGGUCCGAUACUGACGCUGAAGCCCGAAAGCCAGGGGAGCGAACGGGAUUAGAUACCCCGGUAGUCCUGGCCCUAAACGAUGUGCACUGGGUGUUGGAGGUAUCGACCCCUCCAGUGCCGAAGCUAACGCAUUAAGUGCACCGCCUGGGGAGUACGGUCGCAAAGGCUG